rnacentral:rRNA from 1 species
AUUGAACGCUGGCGGCAGGCUUAACACAUGCAAGUCGAGCGGGGGAAGGUAGCUUGCUACCGGACCUAGCGGCGGACGGGUGAGUAAUGCUUAGGAAUCUGCCUAUUAGUGGGGGACAACAUCUCGAAAGGGAUGCUAAUACCGCAUACGUCCUACGGGAGAAAGCAGGGGAUCUUCGGACCUUGCGCUACUAGAUGAGCCUAGGUCGGAUUAGCUAGGUGGUGGGGUAAAGGCCUACCAAGGCGACGAUCUGUAGCGGGACUGAGAGGAUGGUCCGCCACACUGGGACUGAGACACGGCCCAGACUCCUACGGGAGGCAGCAGGGGGGAAUAUUGGACAAUGGGGGGAACCCUGAUCCAGCCAUGCCGCGUGUGUGAAGAAGGCCUUAUGGUUGUAAAGCACUUUAAGCGAGGAGGAGGCUACUUUAGUUAAUACCUAGAGAUAGUGGACGUUACUCGCAGAAUAAGCACCGGCUAACUCUGUGCCAGCCGCCGCCGUAA